UACGUAGGGUGCAAGCGUUAAUCGGAAUUACUGGGCGUAAAGCGUGCGCAGGCGGUUUUGUAAGUCUGACGUGAAAUCCCCGGGCUCAACUUGGGAAUUGCGUUGGAGACUGCAAGGCUGGAGUCUGGCAGAGGGGGGUAGAAUUCCACGUGUAGCAGUGAAAUGCGUAGAGAUGUGGAGGAACACCGAUGGCGAAGGCAGCCCCCUGGGUCAAGACUGACGCUCAUGCACGAAAGCGUGGGGAGCAAACAGG
rnacentral:rRNA from 1 species